rnacentral:rRNA from 1 species
GACGAACGCUGGCGGCGUGCUUAACGCAUGCAAGUCGAACGGAGAGGCCCUGCUUUUGUGGGGUUCUCGAGUGGCGAACGGGUGAGUAACAAGUGAGUAACCUGCCCUUGACUUUGGGAUAACUUCAGGAAACUGGGGCUAAUACCGGAUAGGAGCUCCUGCUGCAUGGUGGGGGUUGGAAAAUUUCUGCGGUUGGGGAUGGACUCGCGGCUUAUCAGCUUGUUGGUGGGGUAGUGGAUUACCAAGGCUUUGACGGGUAGCCGGCCUGAGAGGGUGACCGGCCACAUUGGGACUGAGAUACGGCCCAGACUCCUACGGGAGGCAGCAGUGGGGAAUAUUGCACAAUGGGCGGAAGCCUGAUGCAGCAACGCCGCGUGCGGGAUGUCGGCCUUCGGGUUGUAAACCGCUUUCGCCGGGGACGAAGCGUGAGUGACGGUAAUGGGUAAAGAAGCACCGGCUACCUACGUG